UCCACUCCUUCUAGCAGUAUACUCAAUUUUAUGGUCAGGCUGAGCCUCAAACUCUAAGUACGCCCUAAUUGGAGCCCUCCGAGCAGUAGCCCAAACCAUCUCCUAUGAAGUAACCCUCGCUAUCAUUCUCCUCUCAGUAAUUGUUCUAACCGGAAAUUAUACCCUUAACACCCUGGCUACCACUCAAGAGCCUCUAUACUUAAUCUUCUCCUCCUGACCCCUAGCUAUAAUAUGAUACAUUUCCACUCUUACAGAAACAAUACCAUUUU